rnacentral:rRNA from 1 species
UACGGGAGGCAGCAGUAGGGAAUUUUCGGCAAUGGGCGAAAGCCUGACCGAGCAAUGCCGCGUGAAUGAUGAAGGUCUUCGGAUCGUAAAGUUCUGUUGUUAGGGAAGAACGACAAGAGUAGGAAAUGGCUCUUGAGUGACGGUACCUAACCAGAAAGCUCCGGCUAACUACGUGCCAGCAGCUGCGGUAAUACGUAGGGAGCGAGCGUUAUCCGGAAUUGUUGGGCGUAAAGCGUGCGUAGGCGGUAUGUUAAGUCAAAUGUGAAAGCCCAGGGCUUAACCCUGGAGAGUCAUUUGAAACUGGCAUGCUUGAGUACGGCAGAGGUAAGUGGAAUUCAAUGUGUAGCGGUGGAAUGCGUAGAUAUAUUGAGGAACACCAGUGGCGAAGGCGGCUUACUGGACCGGAACUGACGCUGAGGCACGAAAGCGUGGGGAGCAAACAGGAUUAGAUACCCUGGUAGUCCACGCCGUAAACGAUGAGAACUAAGUGUUGGGGUUACCAGUGCUGAAGUUAACGCAUUAAGUUCUCCGCCUGGGGAGUACGGCCGCAAGGUUGAAACUCAAAUGAAUUGACGG